rnacentral:rRNA from 1 species
AGUGAACGCUGGCGGUAGGCCUAACACAUGCAAGUCGAACGGCAGCACAGUAAGAUCUUUCUCUUACGGUUGGCGAGUGGCGGACGGGUGAGGCAUACAUCGGAAUCUACUUUUUCUUGGGGGAUAACGUAGGGAAACUUACGCUACUACCUCAUACGACCUACGGCUGAAUUCAGUAGAUCUUCGCACCUUGCGCGAUUGAAUUAGCUGAUUUCGGAUUAGCUAGUUGGCGGGGUAAAGUCCCACCAAGGCGACGAUCCGUAGCUGGUCUGAGAGGAUGAGCAGACAAACUGGAACUGAGACACGGUCCAGACUCCUACGGGAGGCAGCAGUGGGGAAUAUUGGACAAUGGGCGCAAGCCUGAUCCAGAAAUACCGCGUGGGUGAAGAAGGCCUUCGGGUUGUAAAGCCCUUUUGUUGGGAAAGAAAAGCAGCAGGUUAAUACCCCGCUGUUCUGACGGUACCCAAAGAAUAAGCACCGGCUAACUUCGUG